GAGAGUUGAUGAGAGUUGAGAAGCGAGAGUUUGUAUGAGAGUUUUCAUCAACUCUCAUGCAAACUCUCGCUUCUCAACUCUCAUCAACUCUC